rnacentral:rRNA from 1 species
GAACCCGAUCCCAUCUCGAACUCGGCCGUUAAACGCGCCAGCGCCCAUGGUACUGUGUCUCAAGGCACGGGAGAGUCGGUCGCCGCCA